GAUUGAACGCUGGCGGAAUGCUUUCCACAUGCAAGUCGAGCGGCAGCGCGGCCUUCGGGCUGGCGGCGAGCGGCGAACGGGUGAGUAAUGCAUCGGAACAUGCCCAGUCGUGGGGGAUAACACUUCGAAAGAAGUGCUAAUACCGCAUACGUCCUGAGGGGGAAAGCGGGGGAUCGCAAGACCUCGCGCGAUUGGAGUGGCCGAUGUCAGAUUAGCUAGUUGGUGGGGUAAAGGCCUACCAAGGCGACGAUCUGUAGCUGGUCUGAGAGGAUGAUCAGCCACACUGGGACUGAGACACGGCCCAGACUCCUACGGGAGGCAGCAGUGGGGAAUUUUGGACAAUGGGGGCAACCCUGAUCCAGCCAUUCCGCGUGAGUGAAGAAGGCCUUCGGGUUGUAAAGCUCUUUCGGCAGGAACGAAACGGUGGGCUCUAACAUAGUCCGCUAAUGACGGUACCUGAAGAAGAAGCACCGGCUAACUACGUG
rnacentral:rRNA from 1 species